rnacentral:rRNA from 1 species
UACGAAGGGGGCUAGCGUUGUUCGGAUUUACUGGGCGUAAUGCGCACGUAGGCGGAUCGAUCAGUCAGGGGGUGAAAUCCCAGAGCUCAACUCUGGAACUGCCUUUGAUACUGUCGAUCUGGAGUAUGGAAGAGGUGAGUGGAAUUCCGAGUGUAGAGGUGAAAUUCGUAGAUAUUCGGAGGAACACCAGUGGCGAAGGCGGCUCACUGGUCCAUUACUGACGCUGAGGUGCGAAAGCGUGGGGAGCAAACAGG